GUGCUCACUUUGGCGGCAUCCACACCAAAACGGGAAGGACACAGAGAAGCUCAUCAGCAUGGCCCCACACAAGGGCGACACGUAAACUCGUGACACAUUCCGUCCUUUA
ensembl:snRNA U6 U6 spliceosomal RNA